rnacentral:tRNA from 1 species
GUGUCCGUCGUCUAGCGACUUAGGACUCCUCCCCUUCCGGGAGGUAACGCGGGUUCGAAUCCCGUCGGGCACA